rnacentral:rRNA from 1 species
GAUGAACGCUGGCGGCGUGCCUAAUACAUGCAAGUCGAGCGAACAGACGAGGAGCUUGCUCCUCUGACGUUAGCGGCGGACGGGUGAGUAACACGUGGAUAACCUACCUCUAAGACUGGGAUAACUUCGGGAAACCGUAGCUAAUACCGGAUAAUAUAUUGACCCGCAUGGUUCAAUAGUGAAAGACGGUUUUGCUGUCACUUAUAGAUGGAUCAGCGCCGCAUUAGCUAGUUGGUAAGGUAACGGCUUACCAAGGCAACGAUGCUUAGCCGACCUGAAAGGGUGAUCGGCCACACUGGAACUGAGACACGGUCCAGACUCCGACGGGAGGCAGCAGUAGGGAAUCUUCCGCAAUGGGCGAAUGCCUGACGGAGCAACGCCGCGUGAGGGAUGAAGGUCUUCUGAUCGGAAAACUCUGUUAUUAGGGAAGAACAAAUGUGUAAGUAACUAUGCACAUCUUGACGGUACCGAAUCAGAAAGCCACGGCUAACUACGUG